GGGACACCUCGGCAACAGAGCCCCAAUGGGAAAUAGCCACAAGGCCUUCGUUGGCCCCGCCCACAGCCCGCGCGGCGCACGGCCGCCGCCUGACAGCCGCCCUGGAGGGGCAGGGAGCUGGUGAAUUAUGCUCCUCCAAGAGAUUGGCGCCAUAAAAUGCGGGGUGAGCGGAUGGGAGGAGCUGGCCUGUGCUGCCCCAAUCCUGCCCCGAGACCCUUCCAGAAGGGGCAGGCCCCUGAGCCAUUGUUCUUUCUCUGCAUCACUGAGGAAAGGAGGAGUCCCAGAGUUUGUGUGGAGGCUGCUCUGGAGCCCGGCACUCCCUCCCCGCCUGUCUCCUCUGUGUCCUGGCAGGUUGGUGAGGCCGGAAUGAGCUUUGCUGAAAGAGCUGGUGGAGGUGUCCAACAGAUGAGUGGCUGAGCAAGUUGUGGUCUAUAGACAGAAGGGAAUACUACUCAGCUAUUAAAAACGGUGACUUCACCUUCUUCACCCCAUCUUGGAAGGAGCUUGAAGAAAUCAUGUUAAGUGAGAUCAGUCAGAAAGAGAAGGAUGAAUAUGGGAUGAUCUCACUCACAGGCAGAAGUUGAAAAACAAGAUCAGAAGGAAAAACACUAAGCAGAACUUGGACCGGAGUUGAUGGAUUGCACCAAAGUCAAAGA